AGGCAGAAUUGAGACCUUUCAAAGUUUUAGCACAAGCGAGGGGGAAUGGCUCCCAGCCUCAGGUGCCAAAAUUUUGUGGGCCAGCCCUGGUCCCACCCAACUCUGUGGGUCCCUCUGUCCCAUCCCCCAGAACUGCCCCAUCACUAUAGUAACCAGUCCCAGCUGUUCAGUCCUACCACAAAGGAGCUCCCUCCCGCAGCAUUCUCCCCUGGCCCUGACCCCUCAGCUCUGGUGGACACUUUUGCAGAUAGGAGUUCAGCACUGGGGCGGAGAGGGGGGCACACUUUUCACCAUCUCCAGGGGGCGCCCCACGGCUCUAUCCAAACAUAGGGCAGAUUCUCACAGGGGCCCCAGCCCGGCCCUCGUGCACCCAGCGCUGUGCCAGUGACCCAGCUACGCACUGAGCCCUGGUGUCCAUCGAGCUGCUCAUGGGCCUGUCCCUGUGCUGUGACAGUUCGUGCAGACUCAGGGGAUGAGGGUGAGGGGUUCGCACGGCUCCCCCCAGCCUCAGGCCACCUGACCAUUUACCAGCAUCCUGGCUCACCACCAUUGUGCUGCCCAUCCCCCAGCUUGCUCCCAUCCCUGGACUUCCUCGGUAGCUCUGUGUCAUCUGCACCAGUCUCCCCCUCCCCUGCUCACCCUGCUCCCAGGGGGGGAAUAAAUGUGUGAAACACCCACCCCAAGGCAGGCCCAGCCCCGUAUCUCCCUGCUGCCAGGGGGAGAGUCACCACUGGGGGCUCCUCUUUGGCCUUGUCCACACCAGGCCAGUAGCCUCGGUUGGAGGCUGGGCAGCUAAGACGUUAACUAGCCUGGCUGUAAACCCUCGUGCAGGCCAAGUGCAGACUUUUAAACGUGUAUGAGCUUGGGACAGGAGACCAAUGAAUUACAAAGCGUGUUUACCAAUGAAAUCUGCUAGGCAGACAGUGAUCACCAAGAUACCAAACACUUCCCUGUUCUGCUGAGAUCAGCAAGGAUGGGCAUAGACCAAACAUCCACCCCGAGCCUUCAGAAGCUAGCCAGAGACUGAGCUGCGUAAUGCUCGAUCUGCAAGGAGGCAGCAUCCUUUCGGGAUUUGUGGAGAUGAUAACAUGGGAACGUGGCUUGGGCAUAAUCUCAGGUGCGAAUGGACCUGCUCUAGGUACACGGGGGUGUCCCCAUGGGGUGAGGCCAGUGCAGUGAUGCCCUUUCCCUGGGCAGACAAAAGCUGUGUCUACACCACAACUGCAGCAGUGGCACAGAUCAGUGCUGCAGCUACGCCGCUGUGGUGUCGUGAUGCAGAUUCUACAGCAAUGGAAGGGGCUUCGCCAUUGCCGUAGUUAAUCCAUCCCUCCAAGCUGGGUGAACCUAAGCUUUCCGUGUCGACCAGACCAAGCCUCAGCCUCGUUCAACUGGAGUAAGCAUGUCCACAUGGCCCUCAGCUCACUUUAACUGCAUGGGCUCAUGCUCGCACGCUCAGUCCAACCUGUGCACCUGCCCUGUGUCCACCAGGCCUCCGUGGAUCAGUUCUGCUGACUCCCUGUGAACCAGCUCCAGGAACAACUCCUCUGCCCCAUGUGCCCCAGAACCAGCUGUGCCAAGAGGGGUUUGUUUGCUCAGCGUCUUCCAGGAACACAUAUUUCACAAUCCAAUGAUUUCAAUAAAGCCACAGCGCAGGGCACACGGGUCACUUCUCCUCUGUGGGCUCAGUCGCACACACCCACUGCGUCACUUCAGGGGGGGCACGGAGGGAGGGGUCUCUGCAGUGAGAGGCCUGUCACACAUCCUGCCCCCUUGGGUGCCUGCCUCCUUGGUGCCUGCCCCAUCUCCCCAGCCUCCCAGCCUGUGACCAUCACACGGAGCUCAGCCUGCCACUCUCACAAGGACGAUCGCCUGCCCUAACGCCUGGCCACACUGCGCCACAAGGACUGUGCUAUGAACAUGGGGUUUGCCGGGUGCCUCCUGCUCCCAGCUGGACACCCCCUUGGCAGGAGCUCGGCUGCCUGCACGGGAGCUAGGAACGCAAGGAUCCCCAUCCUCCUGGCCUGGUUUUGGGCUUCCAUGACAGGACUCCCCAUGGCAGACUCAGGCAUCCCCGAACUAACUCAGCUCCGACUGGUGAAUGGCCCGAGUCGCUGCGCUGGGAGGGUCGAGGUGCUUCACAAC